rnacentral:rRNA from 1 species
CAGGCCUAACACAUGCAAGUCGAACGGAAACGAUGCUAGCUUGCUAGCAGGCGUCGAGUGGCGGACGGGUGAGUAACACGUGGGAAUCUGCCUAUUAGUGGGGGAUAAGCUGGGGAAACCCAGUCUAAUACCGCAUACGCACUACGGUGGAAAGGGGCCCUCUCCUUGGAAGGUCUCGCUAAUAGAUGAGCCCGCGUCGGAUUAGCUAGUUGGUGGGAUAAAGGCCCACCAAGGCGACGAUCCGUAGCUGGUCUGAGAGGAUGAUCAGCCACACUGGGACUGAGACACGGCCCAGACUCCUACGGGAGGCAGCAGUAGGGAAUAUUGGACAAUGGAGGAAACUCUGAUCCAGCCAUGCCGCGUGUGUGAAGAAGGCCCUAGGGUUGUAAAGCACUUUCAGUAGGGAGGAAACGCCUACGGUUAAUACCCGUGGGCUAUGACGUUACCUACAGAAGAAGCACCGGCUAAUUUCGUGCCAGCAGCCGCGGUAAUACGAAAGGUGCAAGCGUUAAUCGGAAUUACUGGGCGUAAAGCGUACGUAGGCGGUUGAUUAAGCAGGAUGUGAAAGCCCCGAGCUCAACUUGGGAACUGCAUCCUGAACUGGUCAACUAGAGUACAGCAGAGGAGAGUGGAAUUUCUCGUGUAGCGG